AAAGGACAAUGGUUCUUAAAUUUCUAAUUCAUGAUUGUGAUUAUCUUUUACUAUACCUGUGAAUUUGUAUUUAGGGGUCUAAAAUUCUGUAAGCAGCUGCUUCUCUUGUGAUAUUAGACUUAUGAGACUUCUGCUGAUAUUUCCAUCAGUCAGAAUAAAGUAAAAUGAAAGAAAGUAGCAAAAGUUUAGACUCAGCAGUCUAUAUUGUGCAGAAUUUUUGCACGGCUCUCCUUGUUUCACAUGUGACAAUGUGAUACAAUUGCCAUUUUUGGUUAAAUUUAAGUUUCGCUCAAGAGCAGUUUGUGAUGGAUGGUUAUUAGAUGUCAUGAAUUUUAAGGGAUAGGCUGCUCUUAUGCAUUUAUCUAUCUCGUGUUCUAUUGCAUUAUUGUGACCAUUCUGGAAUUUUUAGUUGUUUAAAAUUGGUUUGUUGUUACAUGAAAGAAGUAACCAAGGCUGAAACUGAAGACACUCCUUCAAAACACUAUCGUCUGUAAUCUCUUUAAAAGUGUCUGUGUUUGAAACUCAUGCAUCAAAUCAAGGAGAGAAACAUGCAGGUAUUAUAAUGCUAAACUACUAUGCUUGUCUUUGACUGUAAGCAAAAACAAAACUAUUAUUUCGGAGAAUUGUGGUUGCACAUUCAGAAAUUAUUUCCCUCAAAAUUUCUUUCCAAAAUUCUGAGUGAAAGCAAAUUAUUUGCGCUUGUGACUAUUGUGAGACCAACAAUCUACUUUUGAUUAAUUUUUAUUUUUAUGAAUGGCUUUUGAAAGAGAUUAUUCAGGCCUUGGUAGCUGAAAUAUGCAGACAAACAUGUCAAAGGUGUUUUCUAUUGGAAAUUAAAAUGGGGAAAAAAUAUUUGGACAGAUUUGACAAGAUUCAGCCUAUCAGCAUUUCACGCUACCUAUUUUCUUCCAAGUUUUAUUUUUUGAGAAACAACGAAACAAGUCGAAGUAUUGAUGAUCAUUGUUGUAAUAAUGAAACACGAAAAGAAAAUUUAUUUUUCC
rnacentral:lncRNA from 1 species